GACGAACGCUGGCGGCGUGCUUAACACAUGCAAGUCGAACGGAGUGGCGAACGGGUGAGUAACACGUGGGUGACCUGCCCUGCACUUCGGGAUAAGCACGGGAAACUGGGUCUAAUACCGGAUAGUGUGGGAUGGGCCCGCGGCCUAUCAGCUUGUUGGUGGGGGAGUGGCAUACCAAGGGGGCGACGGGUAGCCGGCCUGAGAGGGGGGACGGCCACAUUGGGACUGAGAGACGGCCCAGACUCCUACGUGAGGCAGCAGUCGGGAAUAUUGCACAAUGGUCGGAAGCCUGAUGCAGCGACCCCGCGUUGGUGAUGACGGCCUUCGGUUUGUAAACUCCUUUCACCAUCGACGCGGUAGAUGGAGAAGAAGCACCGGCUAACUACGUGCCAGCAGCCGCGGUAAUUC
rnacentral:rRNA from 1 species